GAAUUGGAGAGUUGGUUGGCCACGCGUAUUCUUGGGGAACUAACACACAUUUUUUGAUGUUAUUGCUUGAGAAUACACGUAGCUGACAAGUGUAUAACGUC
rnacentral:pre_miRNA from 13 species